ensembl:lncRNA
AAGCAGCUGAGGGUGGGGUCAGGCGGGAAAUCGAUCUUUCUAGAAGCAGGAAUGGGGAGAAUCCUGGAGGACGGGAAUGUCUGGAGGCUCGGGGUGGCUAUUCUGGGACUUUUCAGGGACUCUACAGCCCCUGAGCUUUUCACUGCUGGUUUGGCCUCCAAAUUUUUGGGUUUUUGGGGAGCAUCUGGCGAUCUGCUCCUCUGGCAGAGCUGCCGCCCAUCCCCACAACUUGGCGAAGGUGACAAAAAUCCCGUUGGGGUGGUUUGGGCGCCCUUGCUGUCGCAUCAGGGAUUUUACCCGCUGCGGAUCCAGGUGGCACCGAGGGCACCUCCAGCUCUUCCCAGCGGCUUUUUCCCCGCAUCCCUGGAGGGAGGGAAGGGCUGGAAGUAGGGCUCGGGCCCGCCUCCCCAGCUCGGCGGUGACGGGCACGGCGCUUUUCCCUCCCUGUCACUUCGCUCCCCUCCCUUUCAGCACCGCCACCGCGCUGUCACCGCCGGCAGCGGGGACUUUCCUCGGGCCCACCGGGGUCCCCGAGCUGUUACCGCGCCGCAAACACCGAGCACGAGGUUCCUCCUUGAUGGGAGGAACGAAAGGAGCCCAAACCCAGGAAUCGGAGGCUGCGAAUUUCUGAGCUGCCCUGCUCACACGCGGCUUCCCCGAGGCAGGAAGGCUGAUUUCCUUCCAGGAGCCCCAAUCCAGAUGGUCAGAGGCGCCUUCCAAGCUCCCAGAACCUGUUGGGAAAGGCCAUUAUGUCUCAAUAGCAGUUUUGCAUCCCGGCCCGUUGGAAUCAGCUGCUCCAACACCUCUUUCCCAAUCUGUUCUGGGCUCGUGGAGAGCCAGUCUGGUCAGGCUUGGCCGAUUUUGGUGAAGGAAUAAAAUCCCGUGUUUAUUCCCGUUUUUUUUUUUUUUUUUUUUUUUUUUUGUCACCCCCCCCCCCCCCCCCCCCCCCCCCCCCCCCCCCCCCUUUUUUUUGUGUCAGGCAAGCGUGGAGCCGUUCAGUAUAAAAGGCCCGAGGUUGUUUUUUGACACUCAACGUUUGUCUUUGUCAUGAGAAUCCCUGACAUGUUUUAUUUUCGAGGAAUAAAGCUGUGAACUCCCCGGGAAGAUGCCGAGGAGGAAUUCCCAGCCCAGGGCAUUUUCCUCCUCUCAAAGCAAAGCUCAGGGUCAGGUCGUGCUCCGAAGGAUGCAGAGAUGGAAUUAAAUCCAACAGGGAUUUAAUUGCCACUCGAACACCCAUUCCCUGCCCCAAAACAACCCCUGGAUCAGCCCGGCUGAGCCGAGGGAGGGAUUUUGCUGGAAAAUGGAGAGGAGGAAUUCCCAGGGUUGGGCUCAGUAUCCUGGGAGGCUCAGGAAUGUGGAAUUCCGGAGGUGCAGGCCCUCAAGGGCGGAAAAAAAGCGCUAAUGAGGGGCUGUGCCCAGCACGGGUGUUACUGGUUUAACUGGAACGGCUGGGAGCCCAAACUGGGCCCCCGGGAGGGGAUUUAAGGUGCCCCCUCCCAGCCCCGCUGGCCCCUGCCCCGCGGCCAAAGCGUUUCUGUGCUGGGGGAAGGAUUCCAUCAGGAAUUUUAUCGGGUUCCUUUUAAAAAAAAGGGGUGA